ACCGGCUUCCUCCUCCCAGCUAGGUUGGAUCAUCAGAGAGAGAGGACAAGAGAGAGUUUGAAGGGGUGCUAAGAGCUUAGGGGGAUGAUUUUUAGGGGGCAAACCGUCCAGAAUGAUUCCUGGGCAGGCAGGCCCCAGGGGGCUGGAGGAACCUGAGGCGUGAAAGUACCAAAGUGCCAGGGAAAAAGGUUCUUGGGAACUCCUGUAUCACUGCCUGACACAAAAACUGCCAACAGGAAGUGAUGAGAAACUAGGGGCUGAGGACACACUCAGGGUGACUUUAUAACUUCCGGUGUCCCUGUCACCUGGUUAGAAGCCCAAAACUUUGGUUGUCCUCGAGUGGAGACUUCACUGAGGGAACACAUACACAACACACAGUCCAACGGGAAACACAACAAUGCUCAGAAAUCUCCCCUAAACUUGUUCACUUCCAACAGAGGAGGCCUCCCCAGUCAGUGGGAGGUGCAGAUCCAACCUGCUUCCUUUUAUUGCAACUUCUACCCUUCUAGAAUUUCUCCUUCUCUGCAGGUCCAGGCCACAGAGACAUUAAUCCCUAUUCAAAUGAACCUUCAAGGUUCUUCCUCCAUUAGAAAAAAAAGUCUCUCUAAACACCCCAAAGCAGCAGCUCUCAUGUCACCAGUGUGCAUUCACCAGGGGGGGAGGGAGAGGGCUCUGGGCCUCACCUGGCCCCUCUGUUGUUCGAAGGCAGAAAUGCGACCCUUCCUUCCCGCCUCUGCCCUGCUCCCGCUCCCUCCAACAGCUUUAAUAAACAGUGAUUAUUUCAGCCUUAGAGCACAGCUGUCCUGUGAAUUGUCCAGUCAGAGCUACAGGGUGGGAGUCAGGGCUGCAGCAAGGAGCUCAGAUCUCCAAAUAAACCUGCCCUCCUUUUGCCUUCUCUGCCUGCCUGCUCCCUAGCAGCUGGGAGUUGAGGAGGAGGGUGCGUCUCUGGCCCAGCAGAGAUGACAGAGGCAUUUUCUGAGCAGCCUGCUGAGGGCAGAGCCCCAAUGGGGGAGGGGAGGGGGCAGAGUGUGCAGACAGGGUUGGAGGUGGGCUUGCCCUACCUACCUGUCAGGAAUUCAGGCCUCUCCCAAACAAACCCUCCUUCAUCCAAAUCAAGGAGCUCUGAAAUUGCACCCCUGGGGAUUAGCCUCAGGCUGCCUUUCUGGUUAAAAUGUGCUGGCAUAUUACUUGAGGAAAGAAAUAGACUGUUAGUCAAUUUGUCAUCUAUAGGAGGUACCUGGGAAAUGUUGGUUGGAGGGAGGGAUGAAUGAGUGAAUGAAUGAAUGGCACUCUGGGCUACUAUUGGAAAUAGUGGUAGAAGGGGAGGAAAGCUCUGGGUGCUUCAAGCGAAGUGGGUAGGGAUGUCACUGAGCAGUUCGGGAGGAGAAAGGGGUACAAGUCAAAUUGUGCCACAUCACAGCUGUGCACUGAGCCAGCCAGGGCAGCAUGGGCCCUGCCCUUAAAGAGCGUGUAACUGCCCUUUGUGUGGCUCCUGCUAAAUCCUCCUCCAAGCAGGUGGGACAACAGUCCACUGAGGAUGUGACACUCAGAACUGUUAUAGCUGAACUUCAGAGAUCAUCUACUCAAAGGCUCCCUGAAUAUUUUUUUUCAGUGGCAGAAGCCUUCACAAAUAACACUGUGCAAAAACAGACCCACACAGAGCUGUUCUGCUUGAAUCCGCAUGGUGAAUCCUUCUGGAGAAUACCAGUCUACUCCAGCUCCUCAUUUCAAGUAAGGAAACUGAGGCCCAGAGAGAUCAACCUGUGUUCUCAGACUUCAUCACAACCACCUUCAGGCCCCCAGUCUCCUGUGGGAUUCUACUUCUUGGGUAGGGCCCAGGUACCUGUAAGUUUUUAAAAGGUUUCAUAGGUGAUUAAGACUUGUAGUUGGUUUAGGAGCGGUUGGAUUAAGCACCAGUUUGAAGGUGAAGAUUAAAUUAUAGCAGAGACUGAUUCAAGUUGCUCUUGGGAUCAUAAAGGCCAAAGCCUAGGACAAUGACCCCCAAAAAGCUAUCGGAACUAAUUUCUGGUACUGAAGUUUGCUUAGUUUGAACACGAUGCCGCAGAAUGGCCACUGACCAGGCCUUCAGCAUGUUCUGGUGAAAGGGUAAAUGUCCUUAAUCUUUGGCGGUCUUUCAAGCUAGAUGAGUUCCCUUGUACCACUCAAAUUUAUCUUUGUUAAGGGUGUUACCCUAGUCAGUCCCACAGAUAUAAAAAUGGGAUAAAAUUAUUUCAUCAUGGAGCUGAAACACUAGUGUGAAAUGGAGGACCCGGCAACACCAAACGAUCUUGGAUGAGUCAAUGAUCUUGCCAGCAGCUCAAGACACCAACAAGAAAGGGAUAAGGUAGCCUGGCAUUGCCCAGCUGACUCCUGGUUUGGAUGUCAGGACUCCCCAACAGCUUUCUUUGUAGUGUCCAAGAGGUCAUGUAAUAGAGUUAAAAGGUCAGGAUGUUAGUCAAGUCUUCACUCACAGCCCCAAACAUUGAACAACUUGCCCACUUACUGUCAGAUUCAUUUCCCUUUAGGUCAGUAUCUUCCCUCCCCAGGGCCUGGAUUUCUAUGGGCAUUUGCAGCUGGGUAGAGUGGGGCUAAGGAAGUGGGUUCCCCUUGCCAGCUCUCUGGAGCAUUUGAGUCCUCCUCAGGAAAGCAGAAUGAGCCCUGUGUCACCCCAUGGAACCCUGUACUGUCCUACAGAAACAAUAGGGAAAACCCACUGAGUGAUCUGGGACAUGCAGAGGCUAUGCAGAAUGAUCAGAAAGUCAAAAUGGCUCUCACUAUAGGUAUGGGAAGCAAAAACUGAGCUGAUUCCAGAAUAUUUCCUGGGUGUUGCUUUCUUGAGGAUAUAAACCUUUAGAAAAUAGGAUAGGUAAGAUAAAAAGGCAGAUAUUAUCAACAAGUGUUGGCAAAGAUGUAAGAAGUUGGCAGCUUCAUACACUGCUAGUGGGAAUGUAAAACUGUGCAGCCACUGUGAAAAACAGUCUAGCAGUUUUCCAAAAGAUAAAACACAGAGUUACUGUGUGACCCAGCAAUUCCACAUCUAGGUAUAUAGCCAAGAGAAAUGCUAACCCACACCCACACACAAACUUGCACACGGAUGUUCAUAGCAGCAUUAUUUACAACAGCCAAACACGGAAGCAACCCAAACACCCACCAGCAGAUGAAUGUGUAAAUAACAUGUGGUGUAUCAUACAAGGAAUGCUAUUUAGAAAUAAAAAGGAAUGAAGUACUGGUACAUGCUACAAAGUGGACAAAUCCUGAAAACAUUAUGCUAAAUGAAAGAAGCCAGUCAAAAAGGCCACAUAUGAUGGAAUUCUACUGAUAUGCAGCGUCCAGAAUAAGUAACCCCAUAUAGGGACAGAAAGUAGAUUCUUGGCCAGCUAGGACUGGGAAGUUUGGGGGAAGUAUGGAAUGGCUGUUUAUGGGUAUGAGGCUGUUUUUGGUGUAAUGAAAAUAUUCUAAAGUUGAUUGUGGUGAUGUUUGCACAACUUUGUAAAUAAAUAUACUAAAAACCACUGAAUUGUACACUUUAAAUGGGUAUAUUAUGUGGCAUAUGAAUUACAUCUGAAUAAAGCCAUUAUUUAAAAAAAAAAGAAAACUUUAUAAAAGUUCCUAUUAUUUGGGUUCUGCUUAAUAAAGGCAUCUUCUGCUAGACUUCCCUGGGGCUUAUGGAAGGCAAGCGUCAACAGGAACUGGGGUCACUGUCACCCCUCUAGCGGCCUUUCCCAGUAGCUUCACAAAGACCAAUGCACUAACCUGUUAUCUCCAGAAACAACAGAAUUGUCAGCUAGAAUACAUAGCCAAAAAAGCAAGAGCUCUGGGUGUAUGUGUACAAAUAUAUGUGUGUGUAGGCAAGGCAGGUUUUUCCUGAAGAUCAAGUUCAGUUCUAUGAUAUCACUGGGGAGGGUCAUAUGUACCUUUGCUUCCGGUUUGUAUCUAAUUUGGAAAAGCCAACACAGGUCAUGUACUCUAAUUGUGUAUUUGGUGAUUUUUCCAGUUCAAAGACCUGGUGCCACUCCACUCCUUUUGUUCAGAGGAUGGGCUCACUCCUUGACUGCUGAAGAACACCCUGCCCAGGUUCCUGCCAUGGGAUGGGCAGGCUUCAGACGCAAGCCAGGGGCCGCCACUGGGGAAGAGCUCUUAACCCACAGAGGAAGAUCCCUUCUCAUGGGCUGGCCUAGUGCACGAGGGGAGGGGUGCAGGAGUGAGGAGGAGAGGGAAGGGGGCCCCUGCACGCUGGUUCCCUUCCAAACAAGGCCCUGAUGGAGGGAGCCUCCCAAAUGGAACAAAUGGGAGCAGAGCAGAAGAGAGCAUAUAUACCUCUUUUCCUAAACACGAUUCGAGAUAUACAGAGGGAAAGUUAAAUUACGCUGCAAUUUUGAAAGUCAUCCACUGAAGAUAAACUCUCCCUUCAAAGAAAUUACUCAUCUCUCUCCAUCAGUGGUACCUCAGGGUCUAACAGUAUUCAAAUUUAUUAAGCAAUGACAUGCAGAAUGUAUUCUAUAAAGGGCCCAUUUCAUCACCCCUUUCCCUAAGCUACUUUUUCUUCCCGCAAAGUCACAAGAAGUCCAGUAAGUUCAAAAUCAAAACAAAGCCUAACAAGUGCAUGUGUGUGUGUGUACACACACACACACAAACACACACAGAUGGAAAAAAAAAAGUCCUUCGUAGAAGUUACCAUGAGACAGGCAGCUUCAGAAGGGAAAAACAAUCUCUGACUAAUACGAAGGAGACUCCAAAUUGCUCUUGGCAACAAUCUCUCAACCCCAGAUUCUCCUCCCUCUAUUCAUCUCCACAGUUCCCAGCCAAAGGAAAAGAAACUGAAUAGCUCUCUCCCUGGCCCAACCUGCAGUGCUGCAUGGCUGAGCAAGGGCUGAGCAAACAAACAUCCCCACGCAAUGAUAGCCCUGUGCAAUUGCUGCAAACACAGGCUAGCCAGUUGGGAGAUAGCAGGCUGAUCAUCUCCAUAUUAGAAGGAGAUUGCCUUUAUUCUGGCACCAUAGCAUCAAAACAGAAUGUAAUAUGAUCUUGUGACCUCAAACCCAAGAGAUAUUUAAAAAAAAAAAAAAAAAAGAGGAAGAAGGAAAAAGUGUCCUCCCCAGAAGAGUUGGUACCAUUUCUGAAGAAGGAAGGCCCAGAGCAUCACUCAGAUGGUUUUACCUUCAAGGCAAGAUUUAUCAGUUCACCUUCCUCACAAAAGUGAUAGUUAAUUUUAGAGGUAGGUAUCUUAUACCUAUUAUACUAUUCAAGAUGAAAGGAAUGUUAAUAGACCAAAUGUCCCAGAAUAUUUAUGGCUGCUCUGUCUCAAAGAUCUAUCUAACACUAUUUUAUUAGGACAGACUUGCCAGGUCAGCUAAAACGGAGAUGGACAGGAGCAUGGGGAAAUGGUAUUAUAAGUGGAGAUAUAAGCCACAGAGCAGUUGAGCCCUGAAAUGCCCCAGCAGGCUGGUGUGAGCUGCUCUGAGAACUAUGGAUGGCCACCAGACCUAGGUUCUAGUCCUGGCUUUGCUACCAAGUCCUGUGAGCACAGACAAGCUUCCCCAGCAGCAGGAUGUGGGCUUGGAGCUGCAGCUCCAACCCUGCAAGUAUGCAAAAUGCUAUCCCGGCCACUGGGUGACAACGUGAUGCAUCAGAAGGGUGAUGUCUGGGGCAGUUCUCAGUCUGGUUGGCCCUGCUUCCAGAGAGGGGCCAGACCUCUCGGAGGCUGCAUGGGGCUCUUGUCAUCUCUAGCUGGGAUGUGCCAAAACCAAAGGUUCAUCGUGAAACCCGCAAUCAUAAACCAAUAAUCUGAACAGCACUGACUCAAACAGCUACCUGGGCACUGUGUGCACUCCACAGUGCCCCCUUGAGUCUGGGAUGAGUCAGAAUGAGUCCAGCUUCCCACCCCUUCUUCUCAUCCAGGCCUCCUGCUGCUUCUCCUUCCACAGGGCUGUGCUUCUGUAGCACUUUCCACAUACUGCCUCAUUUCAUCCACUCAGUACCCGUUGAAGGAUAGACCAUUACUGUUACUAUUCCCCAUGGCCAAGGACCAGGUCAGACUUCACUUACUGAUGAAUGCCCUGCACUUUAGCAGAGUGUCUGGAAUCACACAUUAGAAAAUACAAUCAUUGUUAUUGUAUUUAUUGAACAAAUUAUUGAUUGACUGAAUGGAAAGAAACUGAAGUUCAAAAGGCUAAUAUUGUGUGUGACACACACUAUUGUGUGUUGUACUAUAAUUAUACCAGGGUUAUUCCUGUCUCCCUAAUCAAACGUAAGAUUCUGAAAGAUAUAUGUAGUAUAAUGGGCAGCUUCGACUCCUGGCUCUGUCGCUAAGAAGCUGGGCAGCAUAUUUAACUCUUUUGAGACUCAGUUUCUUCAUCCUCAAAGGGGGGCUAGUGAUUCAUACCUGACAGGUUGUGUAAGUUAGAGGAGACACUCUGCCAAGCACCGUGCCUGGCACACGGUAGAUAUCUCUGUACGUCCCGUAUCUUUCCUCUCUUUGGAUUAUCUCCCAGCACUGGCUCCGCAGGAUAUGCCUAAAGUUCUGCGACCUCCAGGCCUUUGCUAUUUUGGCCUUCCUCCUUCAAGGUCCUGCCCCAAUUCCAUUUCCUGUCUGUAGCCUUCCUUGGCUCUCCCAGCAGUCUUGUCAUGGACAUCCUACUUGCUACCUAGGUUUUGCUUAUUCUGUGCACACCUCAUCUGUCUAUGCUGGAUGCCUCUGGGUGGUGGUUCAGGCCUGAGUCCUGCUCUGCCUCACCUGGCAGGGCUCAGAAGGUGGGAUCCAAAUCUACCAAUUUCAUGAAAUUCUGGAACCCAAGCAGGUGGCCUCAGGGACUGUGUGGCCUUGGUGUCCAGUGGUUCUGGGUCAAGGGCUCUGGACUCACCUGGACUCCUGGGCUUCAGCACCUCACCUAUGAACUGGGGCUGAUGAGGACAGUGGUGGCUGCCCUUGUGUGUCUUUAGUGCGGUAAUUUGGGAGAGCUCAGAAAUGAGUACUAACACCCAGCCUGGAGAGAGAGCCCAGGCUGAAGCAAGUCCUUCUGGGGACGGAGGACUGGACCGGGUAAGCUACCAGUCUGCCAAUGAAUCUCAAGAAUGGGGCUUCCUCCUGUGCAAAGCCCAGUACCAGGGGUUAAAAGAAAGAGGGCAGCUAUCCCCUGCCCACCCACAGCCAGGACACCAGAAGCCAGAAACUGGGACAAUCGAACCGGAGGCCCCCGGAGCCCUCACCACCGGCGGGCUGAACCUGCACCGCCACUCGGGGAUCAGCGCGGGCACGGCCGCCGGCCGAGGGCAAUGAGAAACCGAGGAGAGUCGCUUCAUGCAGAGUUCCAAUUCUUCCCUGCAUUUCGCUGAGUGGCAGCGGCGCGCGCCUCUCCACGAGCUCAGGGGCUCCGGGCCGGGUUUCCCCGGCACGCUCGGCUGCAGCCCAAGCGCGGGUUUGAAAUUUCUUGCAGACGCCGCCACUCACUCCCGGCGAGCGCCAGUCGGAGCCGCCGCCCCGGGCCAGAGGGUCCUCGCUGCGCGAAGCACGAAAGCCUGCAGUGCCCGGGGUGGGGACGCAGCCGGCCCCGCAGGCUCUCCCCGACGCCGGGCAGGGCUUCCUCCCCACCCCCUCUCCACUGCCCGGCCGCCUCGCUUCCCGGAGCCCCGAUCACUGCCCGCUCCGGCCAGGCCGCCGCAGACCCACCUGGCCGCCCCGGGGACGCCGCUCUCGUGCCCGCGCCGUGUCCUGAGCGCCUCCAGGGUCCCGGGCUGGGAAUCCACGCGGCAGCGCUGCUCAGGGGAGCCUGCCGCAGCGGGCGGGAGGUUGUCAUUGAUUCGUGCUGGGCGAGUUAAGCCAUUCCAGGAGUGGUUUUGGGAGAGCACUCCCACCCCUCCCUGCAACCAGAAGUAUUUGGCAGGCAGCCCCUUUCGUCCACCUGUACUGUUAAGCGCGGGGCAACGACCAAUUUCAGCAAUUGCGCUUUAUACCUCACCUUAAAACAAGCAAAUCAAGCACUUUCGUAAAGGUAAAAGCAGAAAUGAAAGCAAGGGUGGUGGUGGAGAAUUCUCCCCGCUUUGCUCCUGGGUCUCGGUUUAUUUAUUUAUUUUCUCUAAUAGUUCCCAAAAUGCCUUACCACUUAUCUCAAAUCAGGGGCGCUUUUUAUUAUUAUUGUUUUAUUCAAUUCUGCAUAUCUUUUAUUUUUAGAGGCAAUUUUAUUUCCAUUUGCCUGAAACCUGAGCCCAAUAAAAUUGCUAGAAUUACAUGUUUUCUCCUUAAAGGGUCGUGAGUGUAACUUAACCAAAUGGAACAUUGCAAGCAUUCAAGUGGCAAAUAAAAAAAAGGGAAGUGCAGGAGGGAAGCCCAGAACUUUGGCUCCCUCCACCGGGUGGCCCAGCUGGGCUUUACCGCGGUGGAGUCCUGAGGCCUGGGGUGGGGGCACCCACUGCCACUCAGCGCCCACAGCAAGCACACAGAUCAUCCAGGUGCUCCUUUGCUUCGCCUCCCUUCUAAGACUGACUCAGAAAUGUCAACCAGAAAUCCAACAUUUGGGGUGGGCCAACCACCAAUCACAGAGAGGCGUGGCCAGAGCACCCUCUCCCAGGCUGUUCCUUAAAGCCACACACCACACCCUUUUUUUGAAAAGUGCCAGCUGGGGGUCUUAGGCCGCUGUCAGCCCUCUUUCCUCUGGAACUGUCCUUCACCUGGGGGAAGCCAUUAUUAACUCCUUGGUACCUAGGCUGGCUCUUCUUAGAAAUGAGGAAAGGUCUGGAGAAGUCCUUCCCUGGGGAUCAGCUGCCCAGUCCACCAUGGAAAAUCAGCACAAAGAAAUGAGAUGGUGAGAGGCCUCUGGCACUCCUCCAGGGGCAGGCCACGAACCUUAAAGCACCCCAAAGGCAAAUCCCAAGGUCCAUUAGUCCAUGAAGGCCAAGAAUGGGGCUGGGAUUUGCUAAACCCCAGGAAGAUAGUUCAGACU